rnacentral:rRNA from 1 species
UUGGAGGGCAAGUCUGGUGCCAGCAGCCGCGGUAAUUCCAGCUCCAAUAGCGUAUAUUAAAGUUGUUGCAGUUAAAAAGCUCGUAGUUGAAUUUCGGGAUCAAUGUUUCGGUCAUGCCGUUGGUAUGUACUGAUAUUAUUGGUUUCUCACCUUCUAAAGAGCCGUAAUGCCAUUAAUUUGGUGUCACGGGGAAUUAGGACUGUUACCUUGAAAAAAUUAGAGUGUUUAAAGCAGGCUCACGCUUGAAUACAUUAGCAUGGAAUAAUGAAAUAGGACAUCCGAUUCUAUUUUGUUGGUUUCUAGGAUCGAUGUAAUGAUUAAUAGGGAUAGUUGGGGGCAUUAGUAUUCAAUUGUCAGAGGUGAAAUUCUUGGAUUUAUUGAAGACUAACUACUGCGAAAGCAUUUGCCAAGGAUGUUUUCAUUAAUCAAGAACGAAAGUUAGGGGAUCGAAGACGAUCAGAUACCGUCGUAGUCUUAACCAUAAACUAUGCCGACUAGGGAUCGGAUGAUGUUAAUUUUUUAAUGACUCAUUCGGCACCUUAUGGGAAACCAAAG